AUGGACGCAAGUCUGAUGGAGCAACGCCGCGUGAGUGAAGAAGGGUUUCGGCUCGUAAAGCUCUGUUGGUAGUGAAGAAAGAUAGAGGUAGUAACUGGCCUUUAUUUGACGGUAAUUACUUAGAAAGUCACGGCUAACUACGUGCCAGCAGCCGCGGUAAUACGUAGGUGGCAAGCGUUGUCCGGAUUUAUUGGGCGUAAAGCGAGUGCAGGCGGUUCAAUAAGUCUGAUGUGAAAGCCUUCGGCUCAACCGGAGAAUCGCAUCAGAAACUGUUGAACUUGAGUGCAGAAGAGGAGAGUGGAACUCCAUGUGUAGCGGUGGAAUGCGUAGAUAUAUGGAAGAACACCAGUGGCGAAGGCGGCUCUCUGGUCUGCAUCUGACGCUGAGGCUCGAAAGCAUGGGUAGCGAACAGGAUUAGAUACCCUGGUAGUCCAUGCCGUAAACGAUGAGUGCUAAGUGUUGGGAGGUUUCCGCCUCUUAGUGCUGCAGCUAACGCAUUAAGCACUCCGCCUGGGGAGUACGACCGCAAGGUUGAAACUCAAAGGAAUUGACGGGGGCCCGCACAAGCGGUGGAGCAUGUGGUUUAAUUCGAAGCAACGCGAAGAACCUUACCA
rnacentral:rRNA from 1 species